UACGGAGGGUGCGAACGUUAAUCGGAAUCACUGGGCGUAAAGGGCGCGUAGGCGGCCUUCUAAGUCAGACGUGAAAUCCCCCGGCUUAACCUGGGAACUGCGUCUGAUACUGGAAGGCUUGAGUGCGGGAGAGGGAUGUGGAAUUCCAGGUGUAGCGGUGAAAUGCGUAGAUAUCUGGAGGAACACCGGUGGCGAAGGCGGCACCCUGGACCAAUACUGACGCUGAGGAGCGAAAGCCAGGGGAGCAAACGGG
rnacentral:rRNA from 1 species